GCCCCGCAGUGGCGCACACCAAAAUGCAAGUUUGGAGAUGUACCCCAAAGGGUGCCGGGGCUUCUCCCGUUUUACUCGGGACGGGAGAAGC
rnacentral:tRNA from 1 species